rnacentral:rRNA from 1 species
UACGUAGGGGGCAAGCGUUGUCCGGAUUUAUUGGGCGUAAAGAGCGUGUAGGCGGCCCGGUAGGUCCGCUGUAAAAGUCAAAGGCUCAACCUUUGAAUGUCAGUGGAUACUGCCGGGCUAGAGUCCGGAAGAGGCGAGUGGAACUCCUGGUGUAGCGGUGGAAUGCGCAGAUAUCAGGAAGAACACCAACGGCGCAGUCAGCUCGCUGGGACGGUACUGACGCUGAGACGCGAAAGCGUGGGGAGCGAACAGG